UUCCUCCCACCCACCGAUCCGACUCCUAACCCGGCGGAAAUUCCCCUAUGGAUGUAUCAUGUGCUUAAUGUCCAUUUAGUUCAUUGCUCUUCUGGGCUAGUUACUUCGGCGGUAGGUCUGUCGAGCUUUUGGUUUAUGUAGUUUGGUGGGUGGGUUUACCAGGGUUUAAGAGAUUCUACAGGAAGGUGAUCACCAGUUGUGGUAUUUACGUUUAUGUUUUCAGCGGGGAGCGCAAUGCGAUGUGAGAGAUGAUUAUUCGGUUCAAUGAGCCUACUCUUAUUUGGCAGCAGUUAUAUGGAUUUCCCCAUUUUGUUGUGAUGUGCCAUGUGUGAGUUGCGAUGGGAACAUCUUCGGGAAUAGGUAUUAUAUCCAUAAGAAUGUCUAUAUGGCUCUCUAGCACUGCCCCUAGUGCUUCUGACCGGCACUAUUAGUCAUUGUAAACAAGCAACAUUGCACAUAGUUAGCACCUUGCGAGAACAUUCACCUACUGGAAACUGAUUAGAUGUGUUCUGUAGAUUCAGCUUGUACUUGCAGUGUUUUAUAUGUGGUUUGUCCUGUUGGUUGUUUUGCUUUUGCCUGAGGCCCCUUGACUGUGAGGUUAUGUUGGCAAUUGGUGCUUGAUGUGUGUACUAGGAUGAGCAUUGAAUCUAAGUGUAAUUACUUGAGGCAUAGGUGCUAUCUUAUUUGAGAAAUGUGUACAUGCCUCUUCAGUACCGGUUAGUUACGAAUAUUUACUGUUAUAUAAUUUAUUCAUCCUACUUCAGAAUUGUACUUCAUAGGCUGUGCAAGCGCCAAUCAGUAGUGAACUUUUUAUAAAAGACAGUCAACAGGGAGCAUAAUUAGCACUUUGUGUCAUCAAAAUGGUUGAUAGUACCAUUGUGGUGGUUAGCUCUGGUUGGUCUAUUUCAUCUCAUUACGUUACCUUUCAUGUUCUUAUGCUGUACCCUUGAUAUCUUUACAAUGAUAUUAUAUAUUUACGAAGCCUUUUAUCCCAAACAAGUUGGGGUAGGCUAGAUAUGAAACCCUUUCACGAGGACUUCCCAGGAGGUCACCCAUCCUAGUACUACUCUCGCUCAAAUGGGUUUCAUACCUAUGGGACUGGCUAGUUUUUACGUUGGCUCGCCAAGCCUAUCACAACCCUCCUCCUUUACCCGGGCUUGGGACCGGCUAUGCCUAGAAGACAUAGGCGGAGUUA